rnacentral:ribozyme from 1 species
AUGAGUUCGAUCUCGAGAUGGAUCCUGCAGUAGUCUACAC